rnacentral:rRNA from 1 species
CGUCUAUAUACGUAUAGCAUAUCAAUAAGCGGAGGAAAAGAAACUAACUAAGGAUUCCCUCAGUAACGGCGAGUGAAGCGGGAAGAGCUCAAAUUUGAAAUCUUCAAGGGUUCUACCUUUACGAAUUGUAGUUUAAAGAAGUGUUUUCUGUUGGAGUUUCGGUAAAAGUUCUUUGGAAUAGGACAUCAUAGAGGGUGAGAAUCCCGUAUUUGACCAGUUACUUUCCAGCUGUGUGAUACACUUUCAAAGAGUCGGAUUGUUUGGGAAUGCAGUCCAAAAUGGGUGGUAAAUUUCAUCUAAAGCUAAAUACUGGCGAGAGACCGAUAGCGAACAAGUACCGUGAGGGAAAGAUGAAAAGAACUUUGAAAAGAGAGUUAAACAGUACGUGAAAUUGUCAAAAGGGAAGCGUUUGACACCAGUGUUGUUUUCUCGAAAAUCAAUUAAAAAUGGUGGGAUUUUGUGUUGUAUUGACUUUAUCAGCUUUCUGCACUUUUUUCCUGUCUUUUUUAAUGCACUUUUCGUUUAACAAGUCAACAUCAAUUUCUUUUGUUGUAAAAGGGUCAUUGGAAGGUGGCUUUCUUUUCGGAGAAAGUGUUUAUAGCCUUUGACUUCUGCAAUCGGAGAGAUUGAGGUCUGCAGCGUAGAUCCUUCGGGGUUAGAUACAUUUGUGCUAAGUUAUAGCCUUUCAUAGACAACUUGUUGACUAUGAUCAGUCAUGUAGCUUACUCGCUUAUGUUAUUUUACCUACGCUUAGGAUGUUGACGAUCAGCUGAGCGCG